UACUCCUCGCCGGCUGCGCGAGCGGAUACCUGGGCGCAGCGCCGCGGGCUGUGCGAUGUUUCUGUGGGACGCUCGUCCCGGGCCCCUCCUGCUGUUCCUGGGCACGGCCGUCCGAUACCAAGAAGGCCCUUCCAGAUAGACAUGUCUGAGCUCGAGGGCAGCUGUAGUGAGCCCUGGUGGCCCGGAAGGCUUUAUGGGGUUUUCACAUCGGUUCCGUCCCUUCAUCCUCACACCGCCACGGUGGGCCUCCAUCCCUGGCCAAUUUGAGAUUGAGAAGCCGAAGCCUCAUAGAGCGGCCCCUUAAGAUGCAGGGUGGAGAGGAGGCAUGUCUCAACUGCCGCCAUCCGGGCACGUGGGGGGGAGGGGAAAGGGAGAGUCCAUGGCAGGUUCCAGAGAGCAGUGACGUUAGGGAGCUGGCCUGGCACACAGCUGGGCCUCGGUGUUCUGUUGAAUAUACACAGGUUCAUAAAACGUCGACAUCAGGCUCUGAUGACUGAUCAAGCCAAAACCGAGGCCCCUCUCUUCAUGUCUGAACACAGACGAAAAGACGAGCGUUGGCCAAGCCACAAAAGUGACCAAACAUCCUUCUGUCUUGGCCAAUAAGAGUGACUGCUGCUUCUUUACCAAUUACAAGUUUAGGAUUUCUCUAGUCUUCCUGCCUUUGAGAUACGAUUUAUUAAGACAUCCAGUCAAGGAAUUGCCUCCUUUUCCUGGCAUAAUCCAAUCCAGAGCAAAGCCCUGCUUCCUUAAAUGUUUCCCCAAAUCAACUAACACAGACCCAAAUGUUGUAAGUCCUCUGCAUGUCCCUUUACUGAGGUUGCCCGUGGUAAUAGUCUCCCUGGCUGGGAUGAGUAAUAACCCAAUUCCGACGACUGCAGGUGUGUUUCUGGUGAUCUCUGGCUGAGGACAUUGUUGGGCCCAGUGGGCCUUCAUGCCUCUCAUCUACUUGCCCGCUCACUCACCACUAUUUGAAACCCUCACUGCUCUCUGCUCUCCCUUUAACAGAUGAACUGCCUCAUCCCUGCAGAAAUGCUCUAAAGUAGCAAUACAGUCCCAUUUCCUCACCUCUCAUCCACUUCUCAGCCCACCCCAAACUAGCUUCACCUCAUCACUUCCCCAAAACAGUUCCUGCUAAGCUCACCAGUCAUUUCCCACUCUGUGGCUAAAUGGAGGUGAUGUUUUUAGUCGUCACCAUACAUGAAUCCCAGCAGUAUGACACGGUCAGUGUCUCUUUCCCUUUGGUUUGUGGAACACAUCGCUCUCCUGGUUUGACGCCUGUUCUCUGUCUGCUUUGCAGGCCCACGUCUUCUGCCCGGCGAUUAACUGAUGGCAUUCUUUAAGACUUGAUCCUGGGUCCUCCUCAUGCCACACUCCCUCCUUCGGCAAAUCUCAUCCACACUUGGCUUGAAUUACCACUCAUCUAAACGUGGUUCAUUAAUUUAUGUUUCCUACCAGCUCCAGAUCCCCAUGUUCAAAUAUCACUCAUGUGACAUCUAUUGGAUGUCUCAAAGAUACUGAAACCCACACCAAGUGGAAGAAGUUAACUGUAUGCUGCCCACAAGCACAUAGACCCCAAACCAGUUGGAACCAGAAGGUUGAUGGUGCUGAUUCCCAAUUACCUCACCACCAACCAAUCAGAAGAAUGUCCAUGAGCUGACCACGCCCUGUUCCUUGAACUCUGUAAGACUCCUCACUCCCCCCUCCAGGGAGGGACACACAGUCUUGAGGGAAGUAGCCUGCUGUGGCCCCCUUUGCCUGGCAAAGCAAUAAAGCUAUUUCUUUCUAGUUCACCCAAAACUGUCUCCGAGAUUUAAUCCAGCGCCGGUGUACAGAGGCCAAGUUUCAGCAACACUAAGAGACUCUCUCCUGCUGACUUUGAAGAAGCAAGACACCGUGCUGUGAGCUGCAGAAUGGAGAGGGCCACAGCGAGGGCCCGAGGGUGGCUUCCGGCUGACGGAGGCGGAGGGCUUCAAUCCAGGAGCGCACAAGGAAAUGAGUGCUGCAACAGCCGGUGAGCUUGGAAGCUGGUCCUUCCGAGUCGAGCCUCAGAUGAGACUCCUGUCCAGGCCCACACCUUGACUGCAGCCUUGCAGAGGACUCUAUCGUGCCUGGACUCCUGAACCGUGGAAACUGUGCCAUAACAGUGGAUGUGGUUUUAAGCUGCUCGAUCAUGGUAGGUUCUGAGUCUCCUCCCCUUCAACCUGGGUGAGCUGCGACUACUUGGACGGAUAGAGAGUGGAAGAUGCGCCAUUAUAUGACUUCCAAGGCUAGGUCGUAAAAGGCCCCUCAGCUUCUGCCUGGUUCUCUGGAGGUGCCUGCUCUCGAGGAAGUCAGUCACCAAGUAAGAAGUCCAACUACUCUGAGGCUGCCGUGAUGGAAAAGCCUCACGUAGGCACUGUAUUCAACAACCCUGCCGAGGUGCCAGCCAGCAGCCAGCAGUGAGCGCCAGCCGAGUCGAAUGAGUCAUCUUGGACAUCCAUUCCAGGGAAGGAAACACUCAGACUAGGGUUCUGAGCCCCAGCCAGCAGCUGACUGCAACCUCAUGAGAGACCCCAAGCAAGGACUGCCCAGCUAAGCCCUUUAUGAAAUCCUGACCCACAAAACCACAAGCAAAAUAAAAUAAGGUUUCUUUUUGAAAAU